UGGUGAAAUUCAAGUAAUCAAGCAAUCAAAGGUGGUGAGCAUUCUGGCAAAAGUAAAGAGAUAGUAUCCGAGGAUCAAGAAUUGGAGUACUCGGAAUUCGACUCCUGAAAUAGCUCAGUAUAGUUGGUAAAUAGCUCAUUUCGUUGAGGGCUACAG